AACUCCAAUAGCGUAUAUUAAAGUUGUUGCAGUUAAAAAGCUCGUAGUUGGAUUUCUGGUGGGAGUGUUUGGCCGGCUCAAUGAGUCUUGUGCCUAUAUGCUUCUGCCAUCCUUGGGGAAAACUUGCAUGGCAUUAGGUUGUCGAGUUUGGGAUCCCCAUCGUUUACUGUGAAAAAAUUAGAGUGUUCAAAGCAGGCUUAUGCCGUUGAAUACAUUAGCAUGGAAUAAUAAGAUAGGACCUUGGUACUAUCUUGUUGGUUUGCGUACCUAGGUAAUGAUUAGUAGGGACAGUUGGGGGUAUUCGUAUUCAAUUGUCAGAGGUGAAAUUCUUGGAUUUAUGGAAGACGAACUACUGAGAAAGCAUUUAUCAAGGAUCUUUUCAUUA
rnacentral:rRNA from 1 species